UCAUGGAGAGAAGGAGAGGCAGAGAGAUCCUCCAUCCACUGAUUCACUCCCCAAAUGGCUACAAUAGCCAGAGCUGAGCUGAGCUAAUCUAAAGCAGAAGCCAGGAGCUGAAUGGGAAGUAGAGCAGCCUGGACAUGAACCAGUGCCUGCAUGGGAUUCUGGCGGAUGAAAGAUGUGAAGGCUGUGUAGGAACUGAAGUGAGAUCAUGAGGCACUUGGUCAGCAGUGGAAAUGGAUUGAUUGGAUCUCGUGGGGUCAGUUCCUAGAACAAGAGGACCGGAAGAAUAGGAGGUGACAGUCCAAAAACAAGAGGGAUGCUGGAAGUCACAUCAGGAUCAUCUUCUCUGAUGAUGAGCCAGGUCUCAGCUCAGUUCCCUCAGUCCUUGCUGCGCUGCUCUGGAUCUACCUUGCCCAUGUACACUUACAGACAGCUCUGGAGUUGAAGAACAGAGCUUGUUCAGAGAUGUAUGUGCAUUCGUAAGAGUGACUGGUUCCUCUGCUCUGGCUCUUUCUUCAAAACAAUUAGAUUCUCAACACUUGGCCUGCACCAGCCCCUCUUCCUAGUGGCUUUGCUUUUGCACUGCUUCCUGACCAGAGUCAAGCCUUGGGAUCAAGCCAUAGAAGAAAAGAGAAGGAAAACUAGUUCUACCAGAUUGCUGUUCAGGUUGUCUACACUAUGCUGUAUCAAGGUUUCAGAAAAUUACAGUCCAUGACUCAAGUCUGUCCAGCCACCUGCUUUUUGAAAACAAAGCACUGGAACACAGACACAUCUACCCGCUGAAGAUGCAGCUUCUGGAACCCAUUCAAGAGCCAAGAAAUCCGAUUUCAAGGAAGAGAAAUGCAUUUCAUUACUCGGCAAUAAAUUGGAUUGGCUAUUUAUCAGUAUCUCUUCCAGCAUCCCAGCCGCGCCUUGUAAUGACAGGAGAGGCUGAUGAACAUUUGUGGAGAAACAUUUCAGAAAGUCUAUAAAUGUGUGUUUCCUGUUCAGAGCACCAACAAUCCGGAGAUGUCAUGAUGGUGGUGAAAUCUGGGUUUUGGAAUUCCUUUGAAAUCAGUCCAGGCUUGUCAGUGCCUUUAAGGAACAUAUGGAGAAAGACAGUAAUGAUAAUAAUAAUACCAAUUAAAAAAAAACACAAGGAGACACAGCUCAAUCACUGUUGUUCUUCCCACCUCCGCCACCUUCCCCCUUGCCACCUUUGCUAUCCUUCCAUUAUAUGCCUUCCAGGCCACUGACAGGAAGUCUAUAAAUACCAAUGUGAGGAGAUUCUGAUGCAUUAUUACAGCAGGCAACAUUAUUGUGUUGGUUUUUUUUUUUCCUCCUUCAAAAAAAAAAAAAAUUGGCCAGAUACCUGAGUCUCUGGAAUGGGCCGCCAAAUCCCAGCAGGAUUCCAGAUGGUUGAGAUUCCGGCUCCCGGUGCCCUGAUGUCUCCCCUCCCUCCUCUCCUAGAUAUUUUCAUUUGAGAUUAAAUAUUUUCCAUUA